GUCAAUUUAGAGUAAGAUUCCGUAUAUCUCCAACCUAUGUAAAGUUCACAUGGACAGUCUGGAGUUCUGGGUAUUGCCUCACUGUUUGAGGACACCAGAGACCAUAAAAUUGAGCACAUAAUCGAACCUGCUCAUGCCGUGCAAACUGCAUUAACUAAAUGUGCAGAACACGUUAACAGCAUUCUGUGCAUUUGCUGCCUUCAGCUAUGCCACCCACCUUUAUUGGACGUUUUCCUGGUGUGCAUUCACACCAGACUGAUCUUCCUCUUUUUUUGGAUGGUACCACAUCUUUUCAUGCAGGCACAAACCUUUCUG